UUCCCUCUUCAUCUCUCCUGCCUAACCAUCUUUUCACUACACGAAACUGCCAUGGACGCCCGAGCUCGCAGCCGCAUCUCCAGCGUGCCGCCGCUCAGAUCGACGCUCCCUCGCUGAGAUCCGGUUGCCACGGAGCCAUUCCCGUCGGAUUCCGCCCCAGACGUCGUUGCUUCGUCGGAGUCCUUCGCCGGAGUCCAUCGUCGCUGCCUCCCUGUGUCGGGCAGGAGGAAGGGGACGAGGGGAGCUCCUAGUUGGCGCCUUAAGCACCAGCUAGGAGAACCAACGCCCACACG
rnacentral:lncRNA from 1 species